CCCCACAGCAUGUGGGGGUUAUUUGCUUCAUUAGCACUGUCAGGCCUUGUUCAGGCCAGCCUGGGGGCUUGAUAGCUACCCUAAGUUCUGGGAACUGGGCUGACCCUGAUAAGGAUGCCUGAUGGCUGCAGAUGUCACCUCACUGUACAGUGUGGUGGCAGGGGUAGGGUGUGGGCAAAAAGAGAGGAUUUGGUGCGCUCCUGUGUGGAACUAGGAGCUGGACUUAAGCAUCCUUUUGGGUCCCUUCUAGCAUGGGAUAUUCUGUGAUUAUUUAGACAUCUAUGCAGAACUGAAACUGAAGUGAUUCCUACUGUAUUACAUACAGUCAUCACAGUAAGCAAUCAGAAUUCAUUUUAGCUGACUUCCCUGAAUGAGGAAGUGAUCGUUUUAUUCCUGUAUAUACUGUAGUGCUAAUGAGAGAAGCUGAUACUGAGAAGUGGUCAGUGAAGUCUUUCUUAAUUCCAUUCUGUGAAAAGAAGGUUUGGAUCACACAAUCCUUUUUCAGCUACUAACAAGCAGUUCAUGUUUUGAGAAAUAGUGUACUUAGCAAGGGUCAUAGAAUCCUCAGUGUUCAGACUGAAAGGGUGUUAUGAUUCAAUUCUGAUGUGCUCUUCCAGAACUUGUACAGCUUAUUAUUUGAAUUCACUUUGUUUUGUUUUCACUGGAGCGGAACGUCCAGAGUUUUGUUCCAAGAUACUUCUGCCAGCUGGUCACAGUCAAGAUGCAUGAUCUAUCAUGACUGAAAGGUCUUCACCUGUAACAAAAGGAUGUAACGUUCAGAAAAAAUGUGUGAGAUAUGCUGCUCCUUGCUGUUGCUGUUUUGCAAGCCAGGCUAUGGCACCUGUCACAACACUGUUGUCCCAUGCCAGAGGGGACCCUAACAUAUAUCCAGAUCUGAUCAUCAUGCAAUGACUGCUGCUGAUGCAGCUGGAAGCAUCUGUUUGAGGAACUACUCCUAAAAGAUCAAAAGAAAUGGUUAAAAGAAAGGUGAUCUAGAGGAGAGAAACACGGAGGCAAUAACAAAUAUUCCUAGUACCUGGAACUUACAAGUGCUACUCUUCUAAAAAGAAGCUCCCCAAAUUCUGCAUUUGGUUAAGAAUUUAUUUGAAGUCAAACUUGACGGAUCCCAAAAGUGUCUUUUCAGAAGUUAACAUUUCAUCAUGGUGCUAUUAAACUUGAAAAUACAUAGGAAUCCUCUUUUGAUUUGCCUAGAACCUGAGCUGGUUAAACAGUGCAGAAAUGCACUUUUUAGGAUGAUAUGCUGUUUUUGCUAGGUUGUCUUUUAUUAACACUAAAGUUUGUAGUUGUUGUUUUUAAACUGUGAAGGAUAGCAUAUUAUUGCGACUGUUUUGUGGCCAUACUAAUGGUACCAUCUAAGGAUACGUUUUAACAAGUGGUAAGAAAAUGUGAGCAGAUUAACAGAUGUCUAAAUCAAACUGCACACAGUCUUCAUUUCUAUUGUACAGCUCUUUCCACAUUUAAUAUUGGCAUAUAUGUUACAGCUGUAUGUUUAGUAACUGUAGAUCUUGGAGUGAAUGUUUUAAAUACACACAACAUAAAUACACUGAAAGUGUGUCCUCCCCCUAAGAAAAUCCCACUGUGUUGAAGAGGCUCAGCAUUCAAUGAGGCAGUUUGAGGCACAGGAAUUUUUGUGUGUUUGUUCUUACUGGCACUUGCAUGUGAAGGAGCUAUUUUAAAAUGUAUGUGAAUUUUCUGAUCUGUACAACUUCAAGCAUUGCAAGCUUUUAAAGGAGGGGGGAAAUGAAACAAAGGAAGAGCUAUAUUUCUGAUGUUUUCUGCCACUCUUUCUUCUCUUGAGUUGUGUCACAGAGCUGAACAGUGGCAAGUCUGAGAUCUCUUCUUAAAAAUCGCUUACUAAAAUUAGCCUCAUUUGGGAAAGAUGCAAAUGAGAACAUUAGGAAAGCUCCUGUUCAG